AUUUCUGUGAGGCUGGUCGAAGAAAGAACUCCAAUCUGUUACACAAUGUGUGGUCAUUGUUUACAUUCACUUACAUAAGUAUGUAUGAAUGUAUUUGCAUACAUUUAUUAAUAGAUAUGUACAUAUGUAUGUACAACCAUAUUCUAGCAUAGUGCACCCAUGAACACACAAACUUCCCUAUCUUAUCAUUUCUACUGUGAGUAUUUACAUUAAUAGUACUGUUUUUUCAUGGAUUUUUCUCGGUUUCUUUUCAUUAGUACGUACUUACAUACAUACAUAUGUACCAACAUAUGUAUGAACAUACAUACAUAUAAAGCCGGUGGCAUUAAGUAUCAAGCAAGAAUCAUUCUUUUAAUGAUUAAAGAUAUACAUAUGUAC
rnacentral:lncRNA from 1 species